CUUCAGCGAGCCCAGUCGGAGCGGGCGCCCCUGGGGGCGGUUCUGCCCGUAGGUGGCGAGCAGGGCCUGUGCCUC
rnacentral:antisense_RNA from 1 species